rnacentral:rRNA from 1 species
AUACGUAGGGUGCGAGCGUUGUCCGGAAUUACUGGGCGUAAAGAGCUCGUAGGUGGUUUGUCGCGUCGUCUGUGAAAUUCCGGGGCUUAACUCCGGGCGUGCAGGCGAUACGGGCAUAACUUGAGUACUGUAGGGGAGACUGGAAUUCCUGGUGUAGCGGUGAAAUGCGCAGAUAUCAGGAGGAACACCGGUGGCGAAGGCGGGUCUCUGGGCAGUAACUGGCGCGGAGGAGCGAAAGCAUGGGUAGCGAACAGGAGUAGAUACCCUGGUAUUCCAUGCCGUAAACGGUGGGCGCUAGGUGUAGUGGUCUUCCACGACUUCUGUGCCGUAGCUAACGAAUUAAGCGCCCCGCCUGGGGAGUACGGCCGCAAGGCUAAAACUCAAAUGAAUUGACGGGG